UUCAAUAUUUUUUUAUUUUAGAGAAAUCCAGAUAUCAGAGGAUAAUCUCAAGGGUAGACGAUCCUUCAACCCUUUCAUUAACAGGGUUCCAAGAAAGGGAUCAACUGCAGUUUAUCCUGGAUCAUUCUCUCGCCAGACUGUGUGAAAAAAAAA